GCAUUGAUGGUUCAGUGGUAGAAUUCUCUCCUGCCAUGUGGGAGGCCUAGGUUAGAUUCUCAGCCAAUGCA
rnacentral:tRNA from 1 species